CCUACGGGUGGCAGCAGUGGGGAAUAUUGCACAAUGGGCGCAAGCCUGAUGCAGCCAUGCCGCGUGUGUGAAGAAGGCCUUCGGGUUGUAAAGCACUUUCAGCGGGGAGGAAGGCGGUGAGGUUAAUAACCUCAUCGAUUGACGUUACCCGCAGAAGAAGCACCGGCUAACUCCGUGCCAGCAGCCGCGGUAAUACGGAGGGUGCAAGCGUUAAUCGGAAUUACUGGGCGUAAAGCGCACGCAGGCGGUCUGUCAAGUCGGAUGUGAAAUCCCCGGGCUCAACCUGGGAGCUGCAUUCGAAACUGGCAGGCUAGAGUCUUGUAGAGGGGGGUAGAAUUCCAGGUGUAGCGGUGAAAUGCGUAGAGAUCUGGAGGAAUACCGGUGGCGAAGGCGGCCCCCUGGACAAAGACUGACGCUCAGGUGCGAAAGCGUGGAGAGCAAACAGGAUUAGAUACCCGUGUAGUC
rnacentral:rRNA from 1 species